UUCAACGGAGAGUUUGAUCCUGGCUCAGGACGAACGCUGGCGGCGUGCUUAACACAUGCAAGUCGAACGCUGAAGCCUGGUGCUUGCACCGGGUGGAUGAGUGGCGAACGGGUGAGUAAUACGUGAGUGACCUGCCUUUGACUCUGGGAUACGAC
rnacentral:rRNA from 1 species